CUGUCUUUAUUUAACAAAUAUCUUUGGAGCCCCUACUGUGCCCUGAGCACUGGACAGGGACUGGAGGUAAAAUAACGAAGACUCAGUGUUUUGACUUCAUACAAUUGUAAGUCUAUCAAGGAAAAGACAUUCAACCUCCCUCAUGUUUUUUCCCUGUACAUAUUGUAUUUCAAUGAAAGCACAUCUUAAAAUGAUUACAAAGGUAUACACUUUUGGAUUCCUCUAAAGAGCCAGUCCCUCCAGUAUAAUCUUAUUUAAACAUCUUUUCAGGAACAAAAAUGUUGUAUGAAGUGAGACAGGGGCUCCUCACAGUUUGGGCAUUUCCUAGGCCUGUAGGUGUGGCUCUGUGUCCCCUGGGUGAGGGUUAUUCCUGUUUACAGAGGGCCUGGAGGAAUUUCCUGACAAUCCCCAAACCCCUGCCCACAAAGGAAGGCUGGUUCUUUACUGAACUCUUCAUGUGCAGCUCUAGAGGGAAAAGGGCCCUGCUCCCACCCACAAACCCAGAAGUAAGUGCCUCUCAUCCUCUCAGUGAAGGCACUGGAGGCAAAUUUCUUGAUCCCACCCUGUUUAAAGGAGAGCUUGCUGAGGCAGGAGAAUUGGGAGUGCAAAGCCAACCUCAGCAACUUAAGGAGCAACUCAGUGAGACCCUGUCUCUAAAUAAAAACACACAAAAAAGGCUGGGCAUGUGUCUCAUUGGUUAAGCACCCCCUGAGUUCCAUCCCCAAUACUCCCCCCCCCAAAAAAGGAAAGUUUGCAUAUCUGAUAUCCUUGAGACUUGUUGUCUGGAAGCCACCAACACUGUGGAGGACAACACUUCCAGUAUCAGUUUUCACCCCAGUGAUGUGUUGUUGAUAGGGAAAGUCAUUGGGGCUGUGGUCAUUGAGCACAGUGGGAGAGGCCCCCAGGAUAUGGUUAUCACAGGCAGAGCCUCACCUUCUGGGCACUGCCCUUCUGGACCUCCCUCUCAACCAAAUAUCUGGCUUUAUCUUUUGAUAAUGCAGGGUGUUUACCUUACCUGCCUCUGUACCCCUGAGGUCCCAUAGGUAGUGGGUGUGUUUUACUGCCCUUUUAAUCUCUCGGCCUUUAACUAUAAAAAGAAAGAAGGAAGAAGCUAUAUCAGCCCUUUAAACAA
rnacentral:lncRNA from 1 species